rnacentral:rRNA from 1 species
GACGUAGGGGGCAAGCGUUGUUCGGAAUUAUUGGGCGUAAAGCGCUCGUAGGCGGGACAGGAAGUUCGUGUUGAAAGACCUCGGCUCAACUGAGGGACCGGCUCGAAUACUCUUGUUCUUGAGGCAAUCAGAGGGUGAUGGAAUUCCUGGUGUAGCGGUGAAAUGCGCAGAUAUCAGGAGGAACACCGGUGGCGAAGGCGGGUCUCUGGGCCGAUAUUGACGCUGAGGAGCGAAAGCGUGGGGAGCGAACAGG